rnacentral:rRNA from 1 species
AGGCGAUGGACAACAGGUUGAAAUUCCUGUACCACCAAUAAUUGUUUGACAGAUGCAGUGACACAGAAGGAUAGACGAAGCGCGUUGAUGGUAGAGCGCGUCCAAGCACUGAGGCAGAUGGCAUAGUGAAGUACGUGCUGUUAAUGCUGGGGUGUGAUGGGGACAGAAAAUAAGUAUGGAAGUCGUUGAAUUCACGCUGGCAAGAAAAGCUGCUAUGGAGAUUAGAGGUGCCCGUACCGCAAACCGACACAGGUAGGCGAGGUGAGAAACCUAAGACGAUCGGGAUAACCCUUGUUAAGGAACUCGGCAAAAUGACCCCGUAACUUCGGGAGAAGGGGAGCCACCAUUUAUGGUGGUCGCAGUGAAUAGGCUCAAGCGACUGUUUAGCAAAAACACAGGUCUGUGCGAAAUCGUAAGAUGACGUAUACGGGCUGACGCCUGCCCAGUGCCGGAAGGUUAAGGGGAAGUGUUAGGAUUUAUUCCAAAGCACGGAACUUAAGCCCCGGUGAACGGCGGCCGUAACUAUAACGGUCCUAAGGUAGCGAAAUUCCUUGUCAGGUAAGUUCUGACCCGCACGAAUGGCGUAACGACUUGAGCACUGUCUCAACAAGGGACCCGGCGAAAUUGUAGUACCAGUGAAGAUGCUGGUUACCCGCGAUAGGACGGAAAGACCCCGUAGAGCUUUACUGUAGCUUGGCAUUGAAUUUUGGUAUUAGAUGUACAGGAUAGGUGGGAGACUUGGAAACUAGGACGUCAGUCUUGGUGGAGUCAUCCUUGGGAUACCACCCUUCUAAUACUAGGGUUCUAACAACGUGCUGUGAUCCAGGCGUUGGACAUUGCCAGGUGGGCAGUUUGACUGGGGCGGUCGCCUCCCAAAGAGUAACGGAGGCGCCCAAUGGUUCCCUCAGAAUGGUUGGAAAUCAUUCAUUAGAGUGCAAAAGCAAAAGGGAGCUUGACUGCGAGAGAGACAUCUCGAGCAGGUACGAAAGUAGGGUUUAGUGAUCCGGCGGUAUGAGAGUGGAAUUGCCGUCGCUCAACGGAUAAAAGCUACCUCGGGGAUAACAGGCUUAUCUCCCCCAAGAGUCCACAUCGACGGGGAGGUUUGGCACCUCGAUGUCGGCUCGUCGCAUCCUGGGGCUGAAGUAGGUCCCAAGGGUUGGGCUGUUCGCCCAUUAAAGCGGCACGCGAGCUGGGUUC